AGUCAGCUGACGCCUGUUCGCACUCUAAUGUGGUUAGAGCAGAAGAACAGGCCAAAGGAGCCAUCAGGACACACCAGAAUUUCUAUGGAAUUAUCAGCAGUUAAAUACUCCAAGACCAGCACUGCUGGAUCCCAAAACAACAGACAACAGUCACAUGUGGGCCUCAGCGUGAAGUGGACCAGGACUUGACCCGGACCGGGAGUGAAUUUUCAAAUACCUCAUGAGACAUAGAGGAAAAUGUCCAGCUGGCCUUGUGAGUGGAAUUACACCCAAGGAUCCAAGUGAGAAGCUCAAGAAAACAGCUGUCAAACAAUGAAUUACUGUGCUUUCUGAGGAAUGGAUGAGGAAAAUGGGAUUGUGUAAAAGAAGUCACACACAGACAAAUAGACAGUGUCCCCAUGUGCAGGUAAUUUGUGUAAUGUCUACAUCAUGGUUCAUAUAAUGGAUCUUGGAACUAUGUGAAAAAAGUUUAAUAACUUACAUCUACAGGAAUAUUUCCUUUCUGAAAUGGAGCUGUAAAACAUGCAAUAUCCUGUAUAUGAAACUAUUAAGCACAACAUAAACUAUGUUAAUUGUUCAGCUAAUGUACAAUCUAACAUAAACCUAACAUAUUCUCUAUGGUAAAAGGUUCCCUCA